GGAGGGUUAGUCCUAACUGGUAAGGCAGUGGACUUGAAAUCCACCGGCCGCAAGGCCUUGCGGGUUCGAAUCCUGCCCCCUCCGCCA
rnacentral:tRNA from 1 species